ACGCACGCUGGCGGCGUGCUUCACCCAUGCAAGUCGCACGAAAAGGCCCUGCUUUUGUGGGGUGCUCGAGUGGCGAACGGGUGAGUAACACGUGAGUAACCUGCCCUUGACUUUGGGAUAACUUGAGGAAACUGGGGCUAAUACCGGAUAGGAGCUCCUGCUGCAUGGUGGGGGUUGGAAAGUUUCGGCGGUUGGGGAUGGACUCGCGGCUUAUCAGCUUGUUGGUGGGGUAGUGGCUUACCAAGGCUUUGACGGGUAGCCGGCCUGAGAGGGUGACCGGCCAAAUUGGGACUGAGAUACGGCCCAGACUCCUACGGGAGGAAGCAGUGGGGAAUAUUGCACAAUGGGCGGAAGCCUGAUGCAGCAACGCCGCGUGCGGGAUGACGGCCUUCGGGUUGUAAACCGCUUUCGCCUGUGACGAAGCGUGAGUGACGGUAAUGGGUAAAGAAGCACCGGCUAACUAAGUG
rnacentral:rRNA from 1 species